UACGAAGGGGCUGAGCGUUGUUCGGAUUUACUGGGCGUAAAGAGCGCGCAGGCGGUCGUUCAAGUCGAGUGUGAAAGCCCCCGGCUCAACUGGGGAGGGUCACUCGAUACUGAUCGACUCGAAGGCAGGAGAGGGAAGCGGAAUUCCCGGUGUAGUGGUGAAAUGCGUAGAUAUCGGGAGGAACACCAGUGGCGAAGGCGGCUUUCUGGCCGUGCCUCUUGACGCUGAGGCGCGAAAGCUAGGGUAGCAAACGGG
rnacentral:rRNA from 1 species